GACGAACGCUGGCGGCGUGCUUAACACAUGCAAGUCGAACGGAAAGGCCCUGCUUUUGUGGGGUGCUCGAGUGGCGAACGGGUGAGUAACACGUGAGUAACCUGUCCUUGACUUUGGGAUAACUUCAGGAAACUGGGGCUAUUACCGCAUAGGAGCUCUUGCUGCAUGGUGGUGGUUGGUAAGUUUCGGCGUUUGGGGAUGGACUCGCGGCUUAGCAGCUUGUUGGUGGGGUAGUGGCUUACCAAGGCUUUGACGGGUAGCCCGCCUGGGAGGGUGACCGGCCACAUUGGGACUGAGAUAGGGCCCAGAAUCCUACGGGCGGCAGCAGUGGGGAAUAUUGCACAAUGGGCGGAAGCCGGAUGCAGCAACGCCGCGUGCGGAAUGACGGCCUUCGGGUUGUAAACCGCUUUCGCCUGUGCCGAAGAGUGAGUGACGGUAAUGGGUAAAAAAGCACCGGCUAACUACGUG
rnacentral:rRNA from 1 species